rnacentral:lncRNA from 1 species
UGCUAACCAUUAACCCCGGGGAACUUCACGCAAGUUUUCCUUAGUUCCAUGAUUGCUCCUUGUGAAAUAUUGAAUUCUGUAGAUUAUCCAUGAUGUUUGUAAUUAAAAUAUUUAAUUCAUUAACGAUUUUGUCCUAUUAUGCCGAUCAUUUACACUCAUUUCAUUAAAUGCAUCACUUGACUGCCACAUUUUCAAGGAAUGGGACUACUGACCUAGCUAUGCAAAUGACCCACGUUGACGUCACACCAUCUACGACGUAACUCUCACAAGAUUGAGCGCCAAAUUUGACUCAAUUCAUUUUCUCUGUCUCCGUAUUAAAAACGUCUUAUAUUUGACUACCUGUAGGGUUCUACCAAAGGUAGUACCCUACACCCCGUAGAAACUAUGUAAAAUUUCCAAAUUUCAAUAAAACUUUUUUAGAUAAUGAAAAAAACGUUGUUUUCACGUUACACUUUGUACCCGAAUUUCCAUAAAACUCGCCCGAUU